rnacentral:rRNA from 1 species
GUGUCAGCAGCCGCGGUAAUACGUAGGUGGCGAGCGUUGUCCGGAAUUACUGGGCGUAAAGGGCGUGUAGGCGGCCUUUUAAGUCAGAUGUGAAAUCUCAGGGCUUAACCCUGAAACUGCAUUUGAAACUGGAGGGCUUGAGGAUCGGAGAGGGCAGUGGAAUUCCCAGUGUAGCGGUGAUAUGCGUAGAUAUUGGGAAGAACACCAGUGGCGAAGGCGACUGCCUGGACGACACCUGACGCUGAGGCGCGAAAGCUAGGGUAGCGAACGGGAUUAGAUACCCCAGUAGUCC